ensembl:lncRNA
GGCAACUUUAUUUCUCUGACUGUGUUAACAAAAAGGGAGAUUAAUCAGAUGAGUUUGUAGUUAAAAUCAGAAAAUCAAUAAAGUAUUCCAUCCAAAAUAAGCAUAGAUGAAGAAAUCAAUAAAAAUCAAAGGUGAAAUUUCCUUAAUUAAAAUUUUGAAAUGAAUUAUUAAAAUUAAGAGCUUUAAAAAUGGCUAAUAAAAUCCAUAUGCCAGUCACUAAAUAAAUUUUUUGUUGGGAGUCUGACCUUUUAGUGUGAAAUGCAAGGCUUAUGAAAUUAAAAUGCAAUUGUAAGGCCCAUACUAGGGCUUAUAUUCGUUAUUGACCAUUAAUGACCUGCCUGUAAUCAAAGCAGAACUUCUUACAAAAUAAGUAAACAAUAAACUUAUGAAAUUGUCAUUGACAGAAGGAUAAUUACUUAUUCUUCCACUUUGGAACAUUUGCUUGAGAAGACCUUGGCAAUGGCUCAGAAUAAUGUUUUCCUCUGGUGCCUUUCUCUUCCCAGUGACUCUAGAGGAUAAAAGAUAGCUUUUAACAGGUUUUCAUUUGCAAAGCAUCAGAAUUAAAUCAUACUGUUAGACCUGAGUUUGGAACUAGCUAGGCCAAGGUUUGGGAUUUCACACCAGAUGGUUCUAUAUAGAAAAAAAUUCUGGUUCAUAACUACAGACCGUAUUGUUACCCUGACUAAUCCUUAUAAAUAUAUACUUUUGGUUUAAAGGUGAGGAAAUAUGAAUGACUGAGCACAAAUUUAUCACUGUUGGGAAAAAAAAAAUCAAUUCACUUCAUAUUCUUGCAAAUGGCAGUGGAUCAUGGCCAGGCAUGAAGAGGAAAUGGAUCUCAGUUUUGGACAAGAAAUACAAGAAGUCAUUGCACAGGGCCAAAAGAAGCACAAAGCUAAACCUGAAUUGUGCCAAACGAGCAUACAGGUCAAAAAAAAAAAAGAAGAAACCAAUCCAGGAAGGAUUGAUGCACUUCCAAGCCAAUACAAAGGACUUGAACCUAGUGUGAAGACUUAAGAUUGCGAGGCUUAACAUACAUUAAGAUGUAGGCCUUCCUUGUAUCCACACUCUGAAAAUACUUACAGACGAGUUUCUCAAACUCUUACCUGGCUCCUAUAAUCUAGUCCCUUUUCUAUCUUUCAUAAUGUGGCAACUUUCUGUAGUACUAGCUGCUGACUGGGUAAAUGCUUACUUGCUUAAAUCACUUUAAGUGGGCCCUGAUUCAAGGACUUGUUAUAGAUUUAUUUUUCCUUUACUUAGAAUUUUUACACAUAAAACUUUGAUAGUCUAUAUUUUCAUCCAGAAAUUAUCUUUUUUUAUUUGGAUUUUUCUGAUAUCUUUUUAAUUUCUCUUGCCAACUGAUUCAUAUAACUCAUAACUCAGCCAUGCAUCCCUAAAUGAUCCCUGUGUUUUUCAAUCACCCUCUUCAAGGUAGGAAUGUAAAAAUAUUAUUAUUUUAAAUUGAAAAGUUUAAAUUUCUUUUGAGAAGAAUUUUAGGUUAAGAAACAUGAUACCUCUCCAAAUCCAGAAACUGAACUGUUUGGAGAAGACACCAUGAAGGUGCCUCCAGACCACAAGUUGCACGAGAAGAUCAAGAAUGAACUUUGGGUGUGGUUGAUUGAACAUUUAUUUGUAUGUAUACUUUCAUGGCUAAGGGGACUGCCCCCUAACUGUUUUUUUUUGUCAAUGUGUCUAGCAAUUAUUGGUUUUGUUCUUUUUUCCUCUUAUCCUCAAAUUAUUGUAAUCUUUAAGUUGAUUAUGUUUUCAUGAUCUUUUUGGGGAAACUGGUUUCCCAAUAAUGAUCAAAAGGGGGAAUAUAACAAUGGAGGUUUGAACCCCUGACUUCAAUUCCCAGAAGUCCUUGGUACUUCCCAGAAUUCCCUAUAAUCUCACCUGGGUCUCCAUCUGGGUGAGAACAGAAUUUAGUAUUUAAUGGGCUCUCUGCCUUCCAAGAGCCUCUUCCUGUACUCAGAGAUUGCAAGGAUAUAGUGAGUAAACUAAGCAUGGGAGUUCUGAAUUUUGCUAAAUCAGCCAUGGCAUGUGGCUUAUUAUUUUGUAUCCUUGAUUUCUAAUAAUCUUUAAUAAACCUCAU